rnacentral:tRNA from 1 species
AGGAUAAUAGUUAAUUAUAACAUUUGAUUUGCAUUCAAAAAAUGUUGAUCUAUCAACUUAUCUUA